GUGCACGUAACUUUCUCGCAUUAAGUUGCAAGGGGAGGGGGAAAUUGGGGUCCCCUCCGGUUGCGGGGCACGGAAAG
rnacentral:sRNA from 12 species